GGGAGGUGGUGCGGAGGGCCGGGGAUCGGAGCGCCGAGAGUGGGGAGAAGCGUGGGAACCCUGAAGUAGGCCUUGAAUUGCAAGCCGGUUGUCAACACAGAUGCUGCAGACCUCUUUGCAGUUCACAAGACAGAAGUCAUCCCUACCACCUGGUUUCAAGUAUGACCAGCCUUUCAUUAUCCUCUUCCCAACCGCCUACUGGUUUAUUUACCCACUCCAUUCCAACGGUGUGUGGGAUAUGCUUGUAUACCUGUGAUUCACCAAAGGGCUUAUUGAGGACUUCAUGUGAGACCAGAGGCCCUGGGUUCUAGCCUGCUAAUUUGGAGGUAAUGAUGUGACCCUGGGCAAGUCUCUGGGCCUCUGUUUCUCCUUAAGCUAAUGGGGGAAGUGAGUCUGACUAAAGCUGUACAGGUCCUCUAGAUUUACAUUUAUGAUUCUGGUAAUUAACAUAUUCAACAGUAAUUAAGAGCAGAAUUUUGGAACUAAAUAAACCUGGUUUUAGCCUCCCUCUGUGUAAUCUGUAUAACCUUGGGGACAAGUUACCUAACCUCUCGGAGCCUCCAACCACAAACUAUGAUGUGUUUUGCACCCUGCGUCA